UACGGGGGGGGCAAGCGUUGUUCGGAAUUACUGGGCGUAAAGGGCUCGUAGGCGGCCAACUAAGUCAGACGUGAAAUCCCUCGGUACGUAACCGGGACUGCGUCUGAUGACGUGGAUUGGCGUUGGAGGUUGGGGAGAGGGAGUAGUCCGGAAGUUCCAGGAUGUAGGCUGGUAGAAAUGCGCAGAUAUCAGGAGGGAACACCGGUGGCGAAGGCGGGUCUCUGGGCCGAUACUGACGCUGAGGAGCGAAAGCGUGGGGAGCGAACAGG
rnacentral:rRNA from 1 species